CACCAGGCUCUUCCCAUAAAAAGAUAAGAGCUUCACCAGGACUACACUAGAAACUCUGCAGAGAGAGAGGGGCUCCUCUCCACUCAGCUGACAACUCUUCAUUUCUGGCCAGAUGACCAUGACCCAACUCGGCUUCCUGCUGUUUAUCAUCCUGGCCACCAGAAGUUGCAGUGCUGUUACAAAUCUUGUUGAUUCUCAAGUGAGGCUUUGAGAAGUCUUG